GUCUAUGGCCAUACCACCCUGAACGCAUCUGAUCUCAGAAGCUUAAGCAGGGUCAGGCCUGCUUAGUACUUGGUUGGGAGACCACCUGGGAAUACUGGGGGCUGUAGCCU
rnacentral:rRNA from 1 species